CCAACAGCCCCAGGUCCCCAGGCUGGGGACAGACUGCAUCCCACAGGGACUUAUCACAUCCCUCACCCACCCCUGGCACCUCACAGGGACCCGGGCAUCCCUCCCUGCCCCUCUGACCCUGCCUGAGGGUAUCCCGGGCAUCCCUCCCUGCCCCUCCAACCUCUGUCUGCAUGGAUGGGCAGGACAAGGCAGAACAAGGAAUUUGCCUCCAGGGGCUUAAAAAAUUCCCACACACCUGUGACUGCAGGUGGGGCGAGUUCAGCCCUAGGGCUCAGGACCAGCACAGGGGCUCCAUCCCAACCUCCUGCCACUGCACCACAUCUCUCUGCCCCUUGUUUGGUCCAGCACUGCUCCCACGGGCAGUGGGGGAUGCUGCAGCACCCUGGGCUGCCUGACAAGCAGGAGAGCAUCAGGGACGGGAUGUGAGGAGCAGCAGGGUCAGGCCCUGGAGCACCACAGGUGAAGGAACAUGAGAGCAACAGGAUGAAUUUGGUGAAGGAGGCUGGCAUUCCCUGGCUGCCAGGUCAGCGAAGUCCCCAGGCCAGGACAAGCAAGGCAAGACUCCCCCAGCGCCUCUCCCUCCCCAGCCAGCCAUCCCCGAGGAGGCCUUAUCUGCCUCUAAUGCUUCGCAGCAGCCUCCCUCCCCAAAGCUUGCGGGCUUGGCAAGAUGCUCUGAGACUGCAUUUGCUCCAAAUGGAUUGUAUCGAGGGGAGAACAAAGCACUGGAGAGUUUUCAAAGCGGAGCUGUGAUCGCAGCCCGCAGCAGAGGUGGCUAGUCCCUGGUGGAACCUCCCAGGGGACCCUCUGGGGUCCAGGCUCAGCCCCAAAACCCAGCAGGCAGUGGCUGCUGCCCCUCAGCUCAAUGUCCCAGCCCUGGCUCUGCCAUUCCCCACUGGUGUCCGGGCAGGGGCCAUUCAACAAGUGCUGGCCAGAAGACAACAGCUCCAUUUUCACCAAAAAAAUGUUCUGCUGCAAAAUCUGGCUUUGCUCCAGCUACAAAUGAAAAAAUUAGGUGGUUGUUUUUUUUUUCUUUCCUGCUGCAGAGUUUCUUGGAAAGCUGGUGUGGGGCAGGCACUGGAGCAAACGCUGACCUUGGCAUCACGCCCUUGCCCACUUGUCUCCCCAUCCCUGGUGCAGGAAGCUCCAGGCAGAGCAACUGGCAGAGCGGAUUUUUUUCUCUAACACACUCAAGAAUGUGGGGAGAAAAAGGGAAAUAUGAGAAUAUCCUCUGUUGAUCUGAGCACAAAUUGCAAUCACAGUCAGGAAGGGGUGAAGGUGUGGAGCUUCCCCUGUCCAGCCUGUGCUCCCUUUGGAAAGAUGGGUACAGGUGAUGCCAGGACUGACCCAGAGCGCUGUGGGCUGCAUGAACCAGGGUGCUCUGUGGUGAGGUGUUCCCAAGGAAGCGCUGGCACACAGGGAACCACACCUGCCAGGAAGGGCUGGAGCAGAAAAAGUAACCAAGAAAUGAGACCAGAAAGUUGUGUUGGCUUGGCUUUCCCUCGGAUCCUCAGGAAAGAUGGUGUCAGCAGUGAGUCAGCUCCUGGAGAAUGAACUUUCAUCCAAAUUAACACAGGACAUUGCCCAGCUGGAAUGUCCCCUUGCUCCAGCUGAAGCCACCCUGUGCCACAUGGCCCUGCAGCCAGAGGACUCCAGGCAGGACAAGGCUGGGAGAGAAGGCUGCCUGCAAGGCUCAGCUAUUACAACUGUUGUUAAUUC